AUCUUAGACAAUGGGCGCAAGCCUGAUCUAGCCAUGCCGCGUGAGUGAUGAAGGCCUUAGGGUCGUAAAGCUCUUUCGCCAGGGAUGAUAAUGACAGUACCUGGUAAAGAAACCCCGGCUAACUCCGUGCCAGCAGCCGCGGUAAUACGGAGGGGGUUAGCGUUGUUCGGAAUUACUGGGCGUAAAGCGAGCGUAGGCGGACUAGUCAGUCAGAGGUGAAAUCCCAGGGCUCAACCCUGGAACUGCCUUUGAUACUGCUAGUCUUGAGUUCGAGAGAGGUGAGUGGAAUUCCGAGUGUAGAGGUGAAAUUCGUAGAUAUUCGGAGGAACACCAGUGGCGAAGGCGGCUCACUGGCUCGAUACUGACGCUGAGGUGCGAAAGCGUGGGGAGCAAAC
rnacentral:rRNA from 1 species